CUCCUCCAAUUAAUCGAUUCCUCUUCCACCUUCUUUGUGCAUGACAGCCGUAAAAAAAUAACCAUCCUUCUUUUGCCUCCUCUCACGAACGACAUUGGCACCAAUCCUCCUUCCACCCCCUUAUGCGCACCAAUCCUCCAUCCGCCUCUCCUCAUGCGCACCAAUUCUUCUCCUGCCUCCCCUCAUGUACGACUACCGCUUCUCUUUCCUACAUCUCACAUGCUUUUUCGAAGGAAAAGACACUCUAAGUUGUUCUAACAAACUGAAGCAAUCCAUAACCCUUAGGACAACCAACUUAGUGCCUCAUUAUAGGCCAAUAUCACGAGAAAUGAAAAUUAAAGGCAUUGCUUCCAUUGACGGCCACAGAUCUGCCGGAGCAAAACAACGAAGGCAAAAAAUUGAAAGAUAAGCAACUUUUUUAUUUUAUUUGUUUCUGAUCUUGAAUAUCGAAAGAUAAGCGUCU
rnacentral:lncRNA from 1 species